CUUUCCUGUGUGACAAGGGAAGAUGGAAUAAUACAGAAUGAUUCAAGUUUUAAAACUAGUGAAAAAGUUACAUUGGAUGCAAGGUGACCAUGGAUGCAAGGGUGGAGGUAUAGACUACUUGGAAAAGAUCUGGUGUGUGUGUGUGUGUGUGUGUGUGUGUGUGUGUGUGUGUGUGUGUGUGUGUAAUAUUGAAUGCAAUGAAAAAGCUGAUGGUUUUGUGGGGAAAGAAUUUCACUAAGUAAUAAUUAAUAAAACUGUUGAAAAUAA